rnacentral:rRNA from 1 species
GAUGAACGCUGGCGGCGUGCCUAAUACAUGCAAGUCGAGCGAACAGAUGAGGAGCUUGCUCCUCUGACGUUAGCGGCGGACGGGUGAGUAACACGUGGAUAACCUACCUAUAAGACUGUGAUAACUUCGGGAAACCGGAGCUAAUACCGGAUAAUAUAUUUAACCGCAUGGUUCAAUAGUGAAAGACGGUUUUGCUGUCACUUAUAGAUGGAUCCGCGCCGCAUUAGCUAGUUGGUAAGGUAACGGCUUAUCAAGGCAACGAUGCGUAGCCGACCUGAGAGGGUGAUCUGCCACACUGGAACUGAGACACGGUCCAGACUCCUACGGUAGGCAGCAGUAGGGAAUCUUCCGCAAUGGUCGAAAUCCUGACGGAGCAACGCCGCGUGAGUGAUGAAGGUCUUCGGAUCGUAAAACUCUGUUAUUAGGGAAGAACAAAUGUGUAAGUAACUAUGCACGUCUUGACGGUACCUAAUCAGAAAGCCACGGCUAACUACGUG